rnacentral:rRNA from 1 species
AGCGAACGCUGGCGGCAGGCCUAACACAUGCAAGUCGAACGGGGCAGCAAUGCCUAGUGGCGGACGGGUGAGGAAUACGUAGGAAUCUGCCCUUAAGUGGGGGAUAACCAGGGGAAACCCUGACUAAUACCGCAUGAUCUCUUCGGAGCAAAGAGGGGGACCGCAAGGCCUCUCGCUUCUGGAUGAGCCUACGUCUGAUUAGCUAGUUGGUAGGGUAAAGGCCUACCAAGGCGACGAUCAGUAACUGGUCUGAGAGGAUGAUCAGUCACACCGGAACUGAGACACGGUCCGGACUCCUACGGGAGGCAGCAGUGGGGAAUAUUGGACAAUGGGCGCAAGCCUGAUCCAGCAAUGCCGCGUGUGUGAAGAAGGCCUUCGGGUUGUAAAGCACUUUAGCCUGGAAAGAAAAAACUUUGGUUAACACCCAAAGUCUUGAUGGUACCAGGAGAAUAAGCACCGGCUAACUCUGUGCCAGCAGCCGCCGUAACAC